CUUUGCAACUACAAAGCUCACCAUCUCUGCUGUGAAUCUGAACCUCCAUGAAUUGAACUCCUGUCUGUUUCGUGUGAUAGACCUUGUGCUGCAGGAUUUACCUUGGGCAGGAUCUGAUUCUCUGAGCAUGCCAUUGGAUGUCAGAUGGGUUGUACCAGCAGUGAAUGUUAGUUUGUCAUCUUCUACAACUGCCAGGAUGUGUAUUUUACUCAUGGAGGGGAAGGUUCUCCAGAGGCAGAGGCAACAUCUGAGGGUAACGAGUCACUAACACCACAGGAAGAAUUGCACGGCAGCGGUAAGAGCUGUCGUGGUGCUUCUGGGAAUGGAAUCAAGCGACAGCAGAGCCAGGCAG